GUGAGCGGCGGUGAAUUGGACCUGCUUGAACAGAUAAUGCGUCCCAGCACGUCAAAGAGGACAAUGGGAUCUUUUCUGGUCCGGAAGAGAGUGUGUAACACUAUCUGUGGCUUAAAUGGAGCGAGACAAAGAGCCAGGGGAUCGUCGUGUAUCACCACUGCCACUAUCCUGCAGGAGACAACAGUGGCUGAUGGAACUCAGGUCAGUGAGGGCGAGACAUACAUCAUCCGCCAUCGUCACUCUUUACUCUUCUAACAGCCUGGAGGACAGGAAGGCGGUGCAGAUGUUCCUGAG